rnacentral:rRNA from 1 species
UACGUACUGCGCGAGCGUUAUUCGGAAUCACUGGGUGUAAAGGGUGCGUAGGCGGUUUGAUUAGUCAGAUGUGAAAUCCCACUGCUUAACAGUGGAACUGCAUUUGAAACUGUCAAACUCGAGCGAUCUAGGGGUAAGCGGAACUUCCGGUGGAGCGGUGAAAUGUGUUGAGAUCGGAAGGAACACCAAGAGCGAAAGCAGCUUACUGGGGAUUGUCUGACGCUGAGGCACGAAAGCUAGGGGAGCGAACGGG